CUUGGUCAUUUAGAGGAAGUAAAAGUCGUAACAAGGUUUCCGUAGGUGAACCUGCGGAAGGAUCACUAAAGAGAACUUGCCCUUCGGGGUAGAUCUCCCACCCUUUGUUUAUCACACUUUGUUGCUUUGGCGGGCCUGCCUCACGGCUGCCGGCGUAAGCUGGCUCGCGCCCGCCAGAGACCCCCAAACUCUGAAUAUUGUCGUCUGAGUAAUAUAUAAUAAGUUAAAACUUUCAACAACGGAUCUCUUGGUUCUGGCAUCGAUGAAGAACGCAGCGAAAUGCGAUAAGUAAUGUGAAUUGCAGAAUUCAGUGAAUCAUCGAAUCUUUGAACGCACAUUGCGCCCUCUGGUAUUCCGGGGGGCAUGCCUGUUCGAGCGUCAUUACAACCCUCAAGCUCUGCUUGGUAUUGGGCGUCACCACCUGGUGCGCCCCAAAAACAGUGGCGGUGCCGUCUGGCUUCAAGCGUAGUAAUUUCUCUCGCUCCGGAGUCCAGGCGAGUGCUCGCCAGAACCCCCAAUUUAUCAAAGGUUGACCUCGGAUCAGGUAGGGAUACCCGCUGAACUUAAGCAUAUCAAUAAGCGGAGGA
rnacentral:rRNA from 1 species